GGGGUUGUGGCUCAGUGGUAGAGCGCUUGCCUACCACAUGUGAGGCACUGGGUUCAAUCCUCAGCACCCCA
rfam:Ictidomys tridecemlineatus contig023841, whole genome shotgun sequence.